UCAAUAAAGGUGGGAAAAAAUCAAAUCAACUUGUCGAUGAAGUGUCUAUGCAGUUAAGUAAAGGAAUCAAUCAAGCCAACUGGUCGUGGAAGUGUCUAGUUUAGUAAAGGAAUCGAUCUAGAUAACUGUUCGUGGAAGUGUCUACAUAGUUUAGUAAAGGAAUCGAUCUAGCUAACUGGCCGUGGAAGUGUCUAUAUAGUUUAGUAAAGGAAUCGAUCUAGUCAACUGGCCGUGGAAGUGUCUAUAUAGUUAAGUAAAGGAAUCGAUCUAGUCAACUGGUCGUGGAAGUGUCUAUAUAGUUAAAAACCAUGAAUUCUGUUAUUGUUUUAAUUCUACUUGGGUGCAUCACAGAAUGUCAAGUUGAAGUGUGCGAGGAACGAUCGACUUCUGGACGUUCUUCGUGCAUGUACUGCUCUGAUGAUUGUUGUGGUACAACGUAUUAUAAGUAUUGUUGCAGUUCCAGCUACACUUAUUACAGCAAUAAAGCAGUGCCAGCCCUCUACAAUUUCCUAUAAUAAUAACCCGGUGGGGGUAGGCCAACCACCACAGCCCUAUACCUACUCAAGCCCGCCACAACCAGCAACCUUCAAUCCAGCUUAUCCAACACCAACUUAUUAUCCACCACCGUUACAGACGACGAACCCCACAUUCGCAGAAACACCACUACCUUACAUGCCCCAAAUUCCUGGAUCAGUAUACCCGAAUAACUCACAACCAAACGAUGCGUCGCGUCCACAAAACCGCUUCAAUAACCCUACUUCGUCAGGCCCACCAAACAAUGGGCUUACGGGUAAGGUACUUCUCCGUCUUGGAAUUAUGGGCAUAAAAGCAGUGUCCUCGGCCACUUCAGAAGAUAUUUACGACGGCCAGGAAUUAUCUGAAACACUGAACGGCGAAUAGCGACAAAGUGCAUUUCUGUUGUUUUUGUUUUUGAUUUUAAUAAUUUUUUAUGUAAGUAGCUACUACCGAUAUUUAUAUGGGGGUCACUUUAGAAUGUAGACAAAUUAUAAAUAGUUUCAUAAGACUUACAAGCUAGCUUUAGUAAUGUUAUUGUAAUCAUCAUAGCUAGCCGGAGCACGAGCACGAGCACUGGUAUAACGUCACGACUCGUCUAUAGAGAGAGAAAUGGAGUAUAACGACCACUCAACACAAACUAGGUCAUUUCGGGACUAACAUAUGGUUUAAUUUUGAUUUCAAUAAUUCACUUGCGCGUAGGGGUCUUAGGCAGUGGGAGGAAACCGGGGGACCCGGAGAAAACCCACGACGUUGGACAGGUGACCCUACUCCUUGUCACGUACAACCGUGGAAUCGAAACCCCGCCAGUUGACUCAAUGACAGAUCGUAUGAUACUGCGCACGCGUGCUAACCAUUCGCCCCCCCCCCCCCCCUCAUCUAUAGAUGAAUGCCUUGCGCUUAAUCGAACCUACAUACGUCACAGUAUUAAUUAUAUUCAAAGUAGAAAUAUAAACCCCGGUGAAAAAAUGAAAAAAACCUAUAUAUAUUGUAAGGAUGUUUCCAAAUUUUCAAUUAACUUUUUGGGUUAUUGUAUAUGUUAUAAUAUAUU